AUACGUAGGGGGCGAGCGUUGUCCGGAAUGAUUGGGCGUAAAGGGCGCGUAGGCGGCGCGGUAAGUCUGGAGUGAAAGUCCUGCUUUCAAGGUGGGAAUUGCUUUGGAUACUGCCGCGCUUGAGUGCAGGAGAGGUUAUCGGAAUUCCCGGGGUAGCGGUGAAAUGCGUAGAGAUCGGGAGGAACACCAGUGGCGGAGGCGGGUAACUGGACUGCAACUGACGCUGAGGCGCGAAAGUGUGGGGAGCAAACAGGAUUAGAUACCCUGGUAGUCCACACUGUAAACGAUGAAUGCUAGGUGUAAGAGGUACCGCCCCCCUUUUGUGCCGGAGUCAACACAAUAAGCAUUCCGCCUGGGGAGUACGGCCGCAAGGUUGAAACUCAAAGGAAUUGACGGGG
rnacentral:rRNA from 1 species